GAUGAACGCUAGCUACAGGCUUAACACAUGCAAGUCGAGGGGCAGCAUCAUCAAAGCUUGCUUUGAUGGAUGGCGACCGGCGCACGGGUGAGUAACACGUAUCCAACCUGCCGACAACACUGGGAUAGCCUUUCGAAAGAAAGAUUAAUACCGGAUGGCAUAGUUUUCCCGCAUGGGAUAAUUAUUAAAGAAUUUCGGUUGUCGAUGGGGAUGCGUUCCAUUAGGCAGUUGGCGGGGUAACGGCCCACCAAGGCGACGAUCAGUAGGGGUUCUGAGAGGAAGGUCCCCCACAUUGGAACUGAGACACGGUCCAAACUCCUACGGGAGGCAGCAGUGAGGAAUAUUGGUCAAUGGACGAGAGUCUGAACCAGCCAAGUAGCGUGCAGGAUGACGGCCCUAUGGGUUGUAAACUGCUUUUAUAAGGGAUAAAGUGGAGUCGUGACUCUUUUUGCAUGUACCUUAUGAAUAAGGACCGGCUAAUUCCGUGCCAGCAGCCGAC
rnacentral:rRNA from 1 species